rnacentral:rRNA from 1 species
CUAUAAUGGGUCAGCGACUUACGUUCAGUAGCGAGCUUAACCGCAUAGGGGAGGCGUAGGGAAACCGAGUCUGAUAAGGGCGAUUAGUUGCUGGGCGUAGACCCGAAACCAAGUGAUCUAUCCAUGGCCAGGAUGAAGGUGCGGUAACACGCACUGGAGGUCCGAACCCACUAAUUGAAAAAUUAGGGGAUGAGCUGUGGAUAGGGGUGAAAGGCUAAACAAACUUGGAAAUAGCUGGUUCUCUCCGAAAACUAUUUAGGUAGUGCCUCAAGUAUCACCGACGGGGGUAAAGCACUGUUAUGGCUAGGGGGUCAUCGCGACUUACCAAACCAUUGCAAACUCAGAAUACCGUUGAGUGCGAGCUUGGGAGACAGACAUCGGGUGCUAACGUCCGGUGUCAAGAGGGAAACAACCCAGACCGCCGAUUAAGGCCCCCAAGACAUAGUUAAGUGGGAAACGAGGUGGGAAGGCUUAGACAGCCAGGAGGUUGGCUUAGAAGCAGCCAUCCUUUAAAGAAAGCGUAAUAGCUCACUGGUCGAGUCGUCCUGCGCGGAAGAUAUAACGGGGCUCAAACUAUGCACCGAAAUCGCGGAUAUCCUUAGGGAUAUGGUAGGAGAGCGUUCUGUAAGCCGUUGAAGGUGUCUUGAGAAGGAUGCUGGAGGUAUCAGAAGUGCGAAUGCUGACAUGAGUAGCGAUAAAGGGAGUGAAAAGCUCCCUCGCCGAAAGCCCAAGGUUUCCUGCGCAACGUUCAUCGGCGCAGGGUGAGUCGGCCCCUAAGGCGAGGCUGAAAAGCGUAGUCGAUGGGAAACAGGUCAAUAUUCCUGUACCUCUUUGUAAUGCGAUGGGGGGACGGAGAAGGUUAGGUCAUCCGGGUGUUGGACGUCCCGGUUCAAGCGUGUAGGAAGGUCUCUUAGGCAAAUCCGGGAGAUCAAUUCUGAGGCGUGAUAACGAGUGGUCUUUGACCGCGAAGUGAUUGAUACCAUGCUUCCAAGAAAAGCCUCUAAGCUUCAGUUACAUAGAGACCGUACCGCAAACCGACACAGGUGGGCAGGAUGAGAAUUCUAAGGCGCUUGAGAGAACUCAGGAGAAGGAACUCGGCAAAUUUGCACCGUAACUUCGGGAUAAGGUGCGCCCUGAUAGGUUGAAGCCCCUCGCGGGUGUAGGCUGAAAGGGUUGCAGUGAAAUGGUGGCUGCGACUGUUUAAUAAAAACACAGCACUCUGCAAACACGAAAGUGGACGUAUAGGGUGUGACGCCUGCCCGGUGCCGGAAGGUUAAGUGAUGGGGUGCAAGCUCUUGAUCGAAGCCCCGGUAAACGGCGGCCGUAACGAUAACGGUCCUAAGGUAGCGAAAUUCCUUGUCGGGUAAGUUCCGACCUGCACGAAUGGCGUAACGAUGGCCACACUGUCUCCUCCUGAGACUCAGCGAAGUUGAC